rnacentral:rRNA from 1 species
UACAGAGGUCUCGAGCGUUAAUCGGAGUCACUGGGCUUAAAGGGUGCGUAGGCGGGCCCGCAAGUGCUUUGUGAAAUCCCAUGGCUUAACCAUGGAAUGGCUUGGCAUACUGCGGGUCUUGAGGUCGGUAGAGGCUGCUGGAACUCUAGGUGGAGCGGUGAAAUGCGUAGAUAUCUAGAGGAACGCCGAUGGUGAAGACAGGCAGCUGGGCCGAUUCUGACGCUGAGGCACGAAAGCGUGGGGAGCGAACGGG